rnacentral:rRNA from 1 species
ACUCCUACGGAAGGCAGCAGUGGGGAAUCUUGCGCAAUGGGGCGAAAGCCUGACGCAGCGACGCCGCGUGGGUGACGAAGGCCUUCGGGUUGUAAAGCCCUGUGGGGUAGAACGAACUGGCAUCGGGCUAAUAUCCCGGUGUCUUGACGGUACUGCCUUAGCAAGCAUCGGCUAACUCUGUGCCAGCAGCCGCGGUAAUG